GGGGCUGGCAGGGGGGGGGCUGGCAAAUGGCCGCUUGCCGAGGGCGUUCCUCGAGCUCGCUAAGGGGACGGGAGGAAACGCGGUGAAGGGGCGCCGCCGCGCCUGCUUUGCAUGCCGAGACCGCAGCCCCGGCCGUCACCUGAGGUGCUGUCCAGGAAAAAGCCGCUUCCCCUUUUUUUCCCCCCCUUCGUUUUCCUCCCUGCAGGUGUGUGGCGGGGGUUUGAGCCUCCUUGCCCUCCUCUGGGCGCCAAGCACAGGGAUUCCCUCCUGGGGCCGCAGGUUCUCGGUUUCCGUGGUAAACGCUCGCUUUUAGAAAGCUCCCCCUGUCCCGGGUUUCGGGGGACAUGACACCACAAAGCAAGCCAACCAACCCCAAAAAUCUGAGCAAAAAGCCCUUGAAAAUAUAAUUUGCCAUUGUCUGGUGUGUAUUCAUGCCAAAGCAUGCUGCAUCUGAAGUGCCUCGUUGGUGCUCUCUCCUAUGUCAGGACCUGAGAAUGAGCAGUAGGCUUAAUUAAUUUAAACAAGUGUGCAAACAUGUGCUGGGAUAAGCCAAAAUGACGCCUCAUUUUGGGGGCUGUGCCGUUUGCCCCUGUCUUUGUUGAUGGAGAAGACUUCUUGCAGUGCAGCAGCCAGGUAUGCCGUUGGAGCAGGAGUGGUUUCUCAUGGCGUCUUUCUGUAUUCGCUUUGUUGCAGUUCAUGGCCUUCCUUUGCGGAUAAACUUGAGAGCAACAUGGGUUUGGGCAGCAUCUGUGAACACUUCAAAACAUUUUGAGAAACAAGAUGAAAAAGCUGAACCUCAUCACUCUCUACAGCUACCUGGAAAGAGGUUGCGGUCAACACCUGGUACACAAAGAACACAAAGGUUUUAGAAGCAUCACAUUCAGAUCAGCAAUCCUUUAUGCAUUUUUAAUCAAGUCCCUCAGCCUUGAAAUAAAUCAAAACGACUGAAAGAAAGAAAUUUUUCUGCUGGAUCUUAAUGAGUUAACCUCUUCCACCUGCAACAUUUCCUCCAAAGCAAGCACCAAGUUUAUUUUUAUAGCUGAAUUCCCAAAUAGCAGGUCAGUGAAGGGAAGGGAGUGUUUGCUGCAUCUGAGGUUUUCAUGUCACGUUCUUCUGUAAUGAUGGGUUUCUUUAAGAAUUACUCUAGUAGUUAAGUUUAGUGGGUCUUUAAGCUUUUUGGUAAAUUAACCUUACUGUAUUUUAUUCUAUUUAAAAAGAAGAAAGAAGAUACUAAGAAAAGAUGCUGGCUUUUAAAAAGUGGAGAAAGAGUCUUAAUCUUUGCAAGGUAAAUUUGUUCCGUUACCUUCUGAGUGAGUCAUCUAACCACCCAAGGAGUAUAGUUCACCUUCUAAGCUCUUGAAAUAGUUUUUUGUAAUGGGUUUGUUCUCUCAUCAGACACUUCCCUUCAGUAGCUGCCUUAAAAGGGCUUAAAUUCUUCUAGUUACUGCCUGAUUGCCUCAUUUCAUCUUACACAUCUUCAUCUGAGAAAAGUGUUGAAGCAUUAGCUUUUUCUUCAAAGAGGAAUUAUAGCAUGGAACAGGAAUGCUGAAAAAUACAAGCUCAUACUUAUGAUCACGGAGCAAUUAUUAUCGACAAUUGUUGACUCUGCUAGUUACAAAUACUAGAGUUGGUUUGAGACACAUUUUGGGAAAGACAGAAUGAGAGACAGCUCUUAAAGUUUUAGUAUUCAGUACUUAAUAGUAUAACAGGUGAGUGAAAAAAAUUGGAUGAGGAGUGGAAGGCUAGCUUCCAUACAGACUUUUUUUUUCUUUUAGCUUCAGGAAAGAAAAAGUGCAUUGGUAGGCAUUAUUUUUGCUUGUAUACUGUAACUGAUUCAUUUCCCCCCCCGUGUCUGAUGUGUAAUUUCAGUUUGCAUUAACACUUGCAUAACUUUGCAUUAUGGUUGAAUGUUGGGACUUUUUUUUCGCUGUUGCAAGUAGGUAUUAUAAACAUUGAUAACUUUCACAUAUGAUAUGAUAAGUAUUUUGUAUUUAUUUUACUGACAUAUAUGCUGGUCUCAUCACUGUUCAACUUCUAAACCCUCUAUUAAAAGGUAACAUUUUUUUAC